CAAGGCAAGCCCACGAUUAAGAGAGCAAUUCACAACAGGUGCGCUAGCGAGGACGCCAAAGACUGCUGCGUGGGGCGUUCGUCGAUCUAUACUCACUUUCGACAUAGCAGAAGGAUGGACGCCAACAUUUCCGAUAUCUGAUCAAGAAUGCCAUUUGACAGCAGGCCAUUGUCAAGAGGCCCUCUUCUAAUCACAGGUUUCCAGGAGUGUUGCCCCAAGAGCAGAUUGAGCACGUCCAAGCUGUUCAGCCUCAAGCAAGAGAAGCGAGCGUUGUCUUCAGUGACAACACUGCAACAAUCCAGGGAAUGUUAAGCUUUCAGUUGUCAUUUCAAAGAAAAAUCACAAGGCUAAUGAAAUGUACUAGUACUCCUGCAUUUGCCUAAUACUGCUUAAUCCAUGCUUUGUUUUCUUACAAUUGGUUUGGGGGGGGGGAUAAUUUAUUUGAAAUAUAAAAUGCAAAAUGAUGUGUAUAUAGUGAACUAUCCUGGUCAGUUUUAACCAGGAGGGUUUCUGGUCUUUUGCCGUCAAAGGCAGAUUUUACAAAAGCUCUUUGUAGGGAUUUUGUCCUGUUGACUGUGUAUAUUUAACCAAUUAAGUGUUAGUACCCGGGGUAUGAACAUAAAUUGUAAAGUACAAUGUAAUAUAACUCGAUUCAUAUUUGGUUCCAGGAGUGUUGGCGCAAGAGCCUCGAGCAGAUUAAGCGCGUCCAAGUAGAAGCGAUCGUCCGUCUCCAACAACGCCGAGGGUGAUGUCACGGCAGCAAUCCAGGAAAUUUUGAGCUUGUAGUUUGAUCAACGUGUAUCAAUUGGUUACUGACAUCUGUUCUUUCGAUAGGACUGGUGAUAUUAUGAGACGAAGAUCAGCAGCGACCUUGCAAAGUGGAUAUUCUCUGCAGUCGACUUGAGUGUCAUCAGAUGUUGGGAGACCAGAAGAGUCACCGAAAGAACAUCCUUGAUUGAAAUGGUUGCCAUUUGUCAAAGAUGAGUACACUCAAAAUCCUUACUCUUAUUUAAAAAAAAAUAUAUAUCAAGUCUUUCCGUAUGUGGUAUAAAAAUAGAACUGCUAAAGAUGCUUUUAACUAUGGAGGACUAGUAGUGCCAAUCUUAAAUGAAUGUAAAAUUAAAUAUCUUAGACUAUUUACUAAUUCCUUUAUUUCAAUAUUGUCACAUCUUAAAAUAAUGGCCCUAGUCACUUUUUUUCUUUCUGGGGGUAAAAGACUGAUUUUAAGGUGGCAAUAUUUCAACUUUUGUCAUUAUUUCAAGUUUUACGGUCUCGAUCAACGGCGCCGCAAUAAAAAUAAAAGUGAAAUGGGAAAUGCAGAAAUAAAUGAAUACUGUGCAAUGGAAAUGUAGAGAUAUUAAUAAACAAAAGUUGAAUAUAAAAUAAAAUGCAUACAAAAUGAAAUGGUGAACUAUGAACAUCUUAAUGAAACGUAUGACUAAAAAUGAAUUAUCAAAUUCACCGAUUUUCGGCUUUUGUGCAUCUUCAGUUUUCAGGAGAACCCAUCGACGGGAAGUUGCCUAAAUGGUCCAGGUUGGAUGUACGAACAGUUUCUGAAGCAUGUUUUAACAACUGCCAUCGUAAGGAAGGAAGACACUUGCCUGCCUGCCUGCCUGCCUGCCUGCCUGCCACUCAUUGUAGUGUCCUGUAGCAGAUUGAGCACAUCCGAGCAGGGGAAGCAAGCAUCAGUCUCCCAGGGCUGCGCGCAACGGCCAGAACAGUCCAACGGAUCAGGUCAUCAAACAUGGUAUCAAAUGCCCCACAGCAAAAUCAAUUUUGCCACAUACCAAAUACCACUUUCAGUUCUCUGGAGUAUAAUGGCCUCCAGGGGAGGGGCUAUGGAAGGUGAAGGACCUCUUUGAGGGGAUGAAGAUGAGACAAACAGGAUGACUGUUCUCUCGCCAAGAUUUUUUUUUUUUUUUUAAUGCUUGUAAAAUGUUUGUUUUUUUUUCAACUUGGAUGGUGCUAGUGCAGUUGACUUUCAAAGCUAAUGAAUGUAAACACUUAAACAGCAGGCAACUGAUGUAAAUAUUAUUGCUCACUAUUGUAACUGGUCACUCAGAGUUAUGUAGUUUGCCAUGAUGUCACUUUGGAUGUUUCUAUGUGCUCUACCACUAAUGUGACCAAAUAAACUGAUGGACUGAGUGGUUCUUUCCAACACGCAACUGGUGGAAAAUAUUCUCAAGUUUUAGUGGUGAUUAAGUGACUGUGACGGUAUAUUGCCCCAGUGCAAAAAUGUAACAGACUGGUGGCCACCAGGAUUAGAAGCACAAAACAAAUUUGGGUUGACCAACGCUUUGCAAAGGUAAAUCAUUCAGUUAUUAUACCUGUGUUGCGUUUCAGAACAGACUGGCUAAUAAAGUAGUUGAGCACUGAUCAUGUGAAGAUUCAUAAGUAGUCCACAACUCAUGUAUACUGCAUACCAAAUCAAAUGAGUAAGCUAGUCCUAGUUUCAAAUUGGUGCACCACUAUUAAAAUCAUUGGGUAUCUUUAGCAUAGCUGACAGAGCUGCCGUGACUUGGACGUAGACUAGCUUGCAAGCUAGUCAAUAGCAAUAAUGGAAGUGCAACUCCUGUAUAUUGGUCCUUGUAAAAUGCAUUGAAAUUGGGCUUGAG